GACGAACGCUGGCGGCGUGCCUAAUACAUGCAAGUCGAACGCAGUGGGGACGGGUGAGUAACACGUGGGUCACCUCCCAUCAGAGGGGAUAACACCUGGAAACAGGUGCUAAACCGAUACUGAUGGAUGGACCCGCGGUGCAUUAGCUAGUGGGUGAGGUAACGGCUAACCAAGGCAACGAUUCAUAGCCGACCGGCGAGGGUGAUCGGCCACACUCGGACUGAGACACGGCCCAGACUCCUACGGGAGGCAGCCGUAGGGAAGCUUCGGCAAUGGACGAAAGUCUGACCGAGCAACACCGCGUGAGUGAAGAAGGUUUUCUGAUCGUAAACCUCUGUUUUUAGAGAAGCGGUAUCUAACCAGAAAGCCACGGCUAACUACGUGCCAGCAGCCGCGGUAAUUC
rnacentral:rRNA from 1 species